GUAGGUGGCAAGCGUUGUCCGGAAUUAUUGGGCGUAAAGCGCGCGCAGGCGGUUCUUUAAGUCUGAUGUGAAAGCCCACGGCUCAACCGUGGAGGGUCAUUGGAAACUGGAGAACUUGAGUACAGAAGAGGAAAGCGGAAUUCCACGUGUAGCGGUGAAAUGCGUAGAGAUGUGGAGGAACACCAGUGGCGAAGGCGGCUUUCUGGUCUGUAACUGACGCUGAGGCGCGAAAGCGUGGGGAGCAAACAGGAUUAGAUACCCUGGUAGUCCACGCCGUAAACGAUGAGUGCUAAGUGUUAGGGGGCUUCCGCCCCUUAGUGCUGCAGCUAACGCAUUAAGCACUCCGCCUGGGAGUACGGCCGCAAGGCUG
rnacentral:rRNA from 1 species